rnacentral:rRNA from 1 species
AGAGUUUGAUCCUGGCUCAGGGUUAACGCUGGCGGCGUGCCUAACACAUGCAAGUCGAACGGUUCUAAGCGCGAGCUUAGGAUAGUGGCGAACGGGUGAGUAAAAGGUAGGAAUCUACCCCUUGGACGGAGAUAGCUACUGGAAACGGUAGGUAAACUUCGAUAAGCCCGAGAGGGGAAAGUGGUGAGACAGCCGAGGGAUGAGCCUACUCUCCAUCUGGUAGUUGGUGAGAUAAAAGCUUACCAAGCCGAUGACGGAUAACCGGUGUGAGAGCAUGAACGGUCACAAGGGCACUGAGAGACGGGCCCUACUCCUACGGGAGGCAGCAGUGGGGAAUCUUGGACAAUGGGCGAAAGCCUGAUCCAGCGACGCCGCGUGGAGGAAGAAGUCCUUCGGGAUGUAAACUUCUGAACUAGCCGAAUAAAAGGCCUGUGGACACACAGGAGAAGAAAGUAGGCUAGGAAAAGUCCCGGCUAACUACGUGCCAGCAGCCGCGGUAAGACGUAGGGGGCAAGCGUUACCCGGAAUUACUGGGCGUAAAGGGGGCGUAGGCGGUAAAAGAAGUCAUCUGUGAAAACCUAUUGCUCAACGAUAGGCUAGCGGAUGAAACUGAAUUACUUGAGGGCACCAGAGGUAGACGGAAUUACCCGAGUAGGGGUGAAAUCCGCAGAUACGGGUAGGAACGCCGGUGGAGAAGUCGGUCUACUGGGGUGCACCAGACGCUGAGGCCCGAAAGCUAGGGGAGCAAACCGGAUUAGAUACCCGGGUAGUCCUAGCCGUAAACGAUGCUCACUAGGUGUAGGGAGUGAUAAACUCUCUGUGCUGAAGCGAACACGCUAAGUGAGCCGCCUGGGGAGUACGUCCGCAAGGAUGAAACUCAAAUGAAUUGACGG